rnacentral:rRNA from 1 species
GUCUACAGUCAUGUACAGCCUGAAUGUGCCUGAUCUUGUCUGAUCUUGGAAACUAAGCACAGUUGAGUCUGGUUAGUACUCGGACAGGAUACUGUCUGGGAAUAUUGGAUGCUAUAGGCU